rfam:Triticum aestivum genome assembly, contig: Triticum_aestivum_CS42_TGACv1_scaffold_129438_2BL
CUAGUACUCCCUCUGUUAGGAAUUACUUGUCUUGAAAAUGGAUAUAUCUAGAACUAAAAUACAUCUAGAUACAUCCAUUUCUACGACAAGUAAUUCCGAACGGAGGGAGUAUCAU